rfam:Gossypium raimondii Chr06_contig_386, whole genome shotgun sequence.
GACUGCAAUCAAACUAGCAUUAAUUCAUCGGAUUCCAUUAGAACUCUGCUGUUAAGAGUGCUUGCGCGAGAGUAGUACUAGGAUGGGUGACCUCCUGGGAAGUCCUCGUGUUCAUCCA